rnacentral:rRNA from 1 species
UACGUAGGGGGCUAGCGUUGUCCGGAAUCAUUGGGCGUAAAGCGCGUGUAGGCGGCCCAGUAAGUCCGCUCUGAAAGCCCGAGGCUCAACCUCGGGAGGCGGGUGGAUACUGCUGGGCUCGAGUACGGAAGAGGCGAGUGGAAUUCCCGGUGUAGCGGUGAAAUGCGCAGAUAUCGGGAGGAACACCAAUGGCGAAGGCAGCUCGCUGGGACGUUACUGACGCUGAGACGCGAA